CCUUCGCUCUGCGUUUUCUAAAAUCUCAGAAACCAGCUUCAGCUACGUAACGUCCUCCUUUUUCUCCUUGAAUCGGAUUCCCCUUUAAUCUCAUCAUUUACGUCUCACCCACUACUCAUCCCGAAUUAAACAUCAUCAUUAUUAUCAAACGUAACUGAUUCAAGCUCUUCCCUAUAAAUUGGUUCUUAUCUAAUUGAUCAAGAGAAGGGAUCUCUACGCACAGUUCAACGAAAUCUCAAAGUAAAAAACUUCAUCAAGCUUUGAUUCCACCAAUGGCCGCUUCCGCUACUUGCUAACUUGAGAGUCGGCUGUUCCAACACCGCUGAGACGACAUGCUUUUUUUGGAUGAGCAGAGAUUGCAGUAACAGUGUCCUCUCCGAUCUGAAGUCCGGUCGUGCUUCUCAUGACUUUUGACAAUUUCUUCUAGGAAAGUCCAAGAAAGACAAAACAACGACUAUAAACCUUAUAUGGAUGUUAGUGAGAAGAGUUCUAACUACUGUAUGUUAAGAUAAGCACAAGAAAUGGAGGACUCCAGAAAUGUCUGAAACCAGACAAAGACGAAAAUGAUAUUAUAGAGACGGAAUGAGAUUCGUUACAUUGAGAAUAAAUAAUAUUAACAUUGCUCAAACUCUAAGUUGAGAGUUUCAUACAGACCAGACCCUAAGUUGGUUUCUCACUUGCUACAAUCAGGAAAAAUGUAGCUCAAGGAAUUCAUACCCAAUUCAAACAACGCUUGAUCAUGCAGAUACACAAGACCAUAUUUGGCAGGAGGAGAUCAAGGAGUUGUGUUUUUGGUCAUUUUAUGUAAAUCACAUAUUUGCAACACACCAAGAGCUAUAGGUCACAACUAUACACUACAAAAUCACUGAGCUAAUCCAUCCUAAGUCUGAUAUUAUGCUCUAUUCCACGUAAGAAUAAGAAAUAUAAAAUGUUGUAGAUAAUAUGUUACAUAAUAUGUUUUUUUUUUCCUUUUCUCCAGAUUCCACCUUUCACCUUUUCUUGCUAUAAGCUUUAAUCAAGCUGGUGUAAUGGCUCUUUUUAGUCACUUUGCAAGCAAAAAUCUGGUACAGGUUGUUGAGCUCUUGCCUGAUAUCAACACUCUAAUGAUUUAUCAGAUUGACAUUUCUGCUCCUGCAUAGUACCUGCAGCAUUUGAGAUGAUCACAAUCGUGAUUUAUCAAGACAUUACAGGCCCCACGCAGGUGAAGAAGCUCCGAUAGGUUCUUCAGCAGAACACAAGUCUUAGAGAAGUCAGGCGCUAAAUAACUGGGCUAAAGACAAAGCAAUUGUGUAUGUUUCAACUGAACUUUUCAAGAACAAGAGCUUGCCGAGUUUGUAUGUUGAUGGAAGCCGGUUCCGGAGCGGUGGCGUAGAGGGUUUCCUUUGCCCGAUUUGAAACCCGCCAGAGUCAAAACAAAAAGUUGCUCCGAGACAUCAUCAUAGUGAGGGAGCAAAUGUACAGAGCAAAUUUAAGGAAUAACAAGCCAGAAGUAGUUGUCACAACAAUGACCUUGAGAACUAUUGCAGGACGUGCUACUAGAAGCAUAUGCGGAAGUUCUGGGCUUCAAUCUGAACACAACAUUGCUACCAUUUCCCUGCAACAUCUCACAUACCUAUUUCAACACUUUUGCUUUUACUAAUUUCAAAUAAACUAAUUUUCGUCAGCUUUGUAUCCUAAGGAAUAGUGUUAGUUAACUAUGUACCAAAUUACAGACUGAAAUUGUGAGGCUAAGUGGUCUUC